rnacentral:rRNA from 1 species
CCUACGGGAGGCUGCAGUGAGGAAUAUUGGUCAAUGGGCGGAAGCCUGAACCAGCCAAGUAGCGUGCAGGAUGACGGCCCUACGGGUUGUAAACUUCUUUUGUCAGGGAGCAAUUGGGUCCACGCGUGGGCUUAGCGAGAGUACCUGAAGAAAAAGCAUCGGCUAACUCCGUGCCAGCAGCCGCGGUAAUACGGAGGAUGCGAGCGUUAUCCGGAUUUAUUGGGUUUAAAGGAGGCGUAGGCGGAAUAUCAAGGCAGCGGUAAAAAUUCGGGGCUCAACCCCGUCGUGCCGUUGAAACUGAUGUUCUUGAGUGGGCGAGAAGUAUGCGGAAUGCGCGGUGUAGCGGUGAAAUGCAUAGAUAUCGCGAAGAACGCCGAUUGCGAAGGCAGCAUGCUGGCUCCACACUGACGCUGAGGCACGAAAGCGUGGGUAUCGAACAGGAUUAGAUACCCGAGUAGUC